AUGUCUGAGAACCCAUUGCAGGCACUGUUCCAAACAUUUGCAAAACUCUCGAACACAGUUCAGGCCCACCUCUCUAAUCUCAUACCCCAACCUCCUCACCACUCCACUUCACCCAUCACCAAAACCCCCUCAAUCUCCAUCUCCUCCUCUUCCAAAGUUACCCCAUCACCCAAUGACUCCUCCCAUGAUCCCAUCAACAAGGGGCAAUCAGCUGGUCCUGUGACGAAAGAAGGGCUGGGAAGAGCUACUUGGACUUUUCUUCACACUCUUGCUGCUCAGUAUCCAGAUAAUCCAACAAGGCAACAGAAGAAGGACGUAAAAGAAUUGAUGUCAAUAUUAUCACGAAUGUACCCUUGCAAGGAAUGUGCAGAUCAUUUUCAAGAAAUUCUUAGAUCUAAUCCUGUACAGGCUGGAUCUCAUGCUGAAUUUUCCCAGUGGCUAUGUCAUGUGCAUAAUACUGUUAAUAGAAGCCUUAACAAAGUGGUAUUCCCUUGUGAACGCGUUGAAGCAAGGUGGGGCAAGUUGGAAUGUGAACAGCGUGCUUGCGACAUACUAGGAAGUACCACAAAUUUCUGGAAAUAGAUCAUGUCAAAGUACUUUCUGGGGUUGGAUUGGAUGAUUGAAGUUGAUAGCAGUGUGGAUGACUGAAGUAGAAUUGGAUAGUUAGAAAUGGUAGUAUAAUGGUAUUAAGCCAGUUUGUUGAACCUGCAAGCAACAGAGGGUUAUUAAGCAUCAUUUUCCUUUCAUUUUCCAUUUUAAGGCUACAUCAUGCAAAUUUGGUAAAAGUAGUCCAUAGGCUAUUCCACAUCGACUGUGUUUUCGCU